rnacentral:tRNA from 1 species
UCCCUGGUGGCUCAGAUGGUAAGGAGUCUGCCUGCCAAGCAGGAGACUAAGGUUCAAUCCCUUGUCAGGAAG